rnacentral:rRNA from 1 species
UUAAGUUAAUAAGGGCGCACGGUGGAUGCCUUGGCACUAGAAGCCGAUGAAGGACGUGACUAACGACGAAAUGCUUUGGGGAGCUGUAAGUGAGCAAUGAUCCAGAGAUGUCCGAAUGGGGGAACCCGGCAGGUUAUGCCUGUCACUCAUUACUGUUAAGGUAAUGUAGAGGAAGACGCAGUGAACUGAAACAUCUAAGUAGCUGCAGGAAGAGAAAGCAAAAGCGAUUGCCUUAGUAGCGGCGAGCGAAACGGCAAGAGGGCAAACCGAAGAGUUUACUCUUCGGGGUUGUAGGACUGCAACGUGGACUUAAAGAUUAUAGAAGAACUACCUGGGAAGGUAGGCCAAAGAGAGUAAUAGCCUCGUAUUCGAAAUAGUCUUUAUACCUAGCAGUAUCCUGAGUACGGCGAGACACGAGAAAUCUCGUCGGAAUCUGGGAGGACCAUCUCCCAACCCUAAAUACUCUCUAGUGACCGAUAGUGAACCAGUACCGUGAGGGAAAGGUGAAAAGCACCCCGGGAGGGGAGUGAAAUAGAACCUGAAACCGUGUGCCUACAACAAGUUCGAGCCCGUUAAUGGGUGAGAGCGUGCCUUUUGUAGAAUGAACCGGCGAGUUACGAUAUGAUGCGAGGUUAAGUUGAAGAGACGGAGCCGUAGGGAAACCGAGUCUUAAUAGGGCGCAUUAGUAUCAUGUCGUAGACCCGAAACCAUGUGACCUACCCAUGAGCAGGUUGAAGGUGAGGUAAAACUCACUGGAGGACCGAACCAGGGCACGUUGAAAAGUGCUUGGAUGACUUGUGGGUAGCGGAGAAAUUCCAAACGAACUUGGAGAUAGCUGGUUCUCUCCGAAAUAGCUUUAGGGCUAGCGUCGAUGUUAAGUCUCUUGGAGGUAGAGCACUGUUUGGGUGAGGGGUCCAUCCCGGAUUACCAAUCUCAGAUAAACUCCGAAUGCCAACGAGAUAUAAUCGGCAGUCAGACUGCGAGUGCUAAGAUCCGUAGUCGAAAGGGAAACAGCCCAGACCACCAGCUAAGGUCCCAAAAUAAUUGUUAAGUGGAAAAGGAUGUGGGGUUGCACAGACAACUAGGAUGUUAGCUUAGAAGCAGCUAUUCAUUCAAAGAGUGCGUAAUAGCUCACUAGUCGAGUGACCCUGCGCCGAAAAUGUACCGGGGCUAAAACAUAUUACCGAAGCUGUGGAUACCUUUAUAGGUAUGGUAGGAGAGCGUUCUAUGUGCGAAGAAGGUGUACCGUGAGGAGUGCUGGAGCGCAUAGAAGUGAGAAUGCCGGUAUGAGUAGCGAAAGACAGGUGAGAAUCCUGUCCACCGUAAGACUAAGGUUUCCAGGGGAAGGUUCGUCCGCCCUGGGUUAGUCGGGACCUAAGGAGAGACCGAAAGGUGUAUCCGAUGGACAACAGGUUGAUAUUCCUGUACUAGAGUAUAUAGUGAUGGAGGGACGCAGUAGGCUAACUAAACCAGACGAUUGGAAGUGUCUGGCCAAGCAGUGAGGUGUGAUAUGAGUCAAAUGCUUAUAUCUAUAACAUUGAGCUGUGAUGGGGAGCGAAGUUUAGUAGCGAAGUUAGUGAUGUCACACUGCCGAGAAAAGCUUCUAGCGUUAAUUAUACUCUACCCGUACCGCAAACCGACACAGGUAGUCGAGGCGAGUAGCCUCAGGUGAGCGAGAGAACUCUCGUUAAGGAACUCGGCAAAAUGGCCCCGUAACUUCGGGAGAAGGGGCGCUGACUUAUGGUCAGCCGCAGUGAAUAGGCCCAAGCAACUGUUUAUCAAAAACACAGCUCUCUGCUAAAUCGUAAGAUGAUGUAUAGGGGGUGACGCCUGCCCGGUGCUGGAAGGUUAAGAGGAGUGCUUAGCGUAAGCGAAGGUAUGAAUUGAAGCCCCAGUAAACGGCGGCCGUAACUAUAACGGUCCUAAGGUAGCGAAAUUCCUUGUCGGGUAAGUUCC